CAGCAGUGGGGAAUUUUGGACAAUGGGGGCAACCCUGAUCCAGCCAUGCCGCGUGAGUGAAGAAGGCCUUCGGGUUGUAAAGCUCUUUCGGCUGGGAAGAAAUCGCAUCUCCUAAUACGGGGUGUGGAUGACGGUACCAGCAUAAGAAGCACCGGCUAACUACGUGCCAGCAGCCGCGGUAAUACGUAGGGUGCGAGCGUUAAUCGGAAUUACUGGGCGUAAAGCGUGCGCAGGCGGUUUCGUAAGACAGAGGUGAAAUCCCCGGGCUCAACCUGGGAACUGCCUUUGUGACUGCGAGGCUAGAGUAUGGCAGAGGGGGGUGGAAUUCCACGUGUAGCAGUGAAAUGCGUAGAGAUGUGGAGGAACACCGAUGGCGAAGGCAGCCCCCUGGGCCAAUACUGACGCUCAUGCACGAAAGCGUGGGGAGCAAACAGGAUUAGA
rnacentral:rRNA from 1 species